rfam:Candida tropicalis MYA-3404 mitochondrial scaffold supercont3.24, whole genome shotgun sequence.
GGGAAUGUCGUCUAAAGGUUCGGACUCUUGCCUUUUAAGCAAGCUAUACUGGUUCGAGUCCAGUCAUUCUCA